rnacentral:tRNA from 1 species
GGAGGGGUGGCGGAGUCCGGCUGAACGCACAUGACUCGAAAUCAUGCAUAGCGCAAGCUAUCGGGGGUUCGAAUCCCUCCCCCUCCGCCA